UAGUCCACGCUGUAAACGAUGAUCACUAAGUGUUUGGCCUUCGGGUUGAGUGCUCAAGUGAAAGCGAUAAGUGAUCCACCUGGGGAGUACGCUGGCAACAGUGAAACUCAAAGGAAUUGACGGGGGCCCGCACAAGCGGUGGAGCAUGUGGUUUAAUUCGAUGAUACGCGAGGAACCUUACCAGGGCUUAAAUGCAGAACGACCGGCGUGGAAACAUGCCUUUCUUCGGACGGACUGCAAGGUGCUGCAUGGUCGUCGUCAGCUCGUGCCGUGAGGUGUCGGGUUAAGUCCCAUAACGAGCGCAACCCCUAUCUUUAGUUGCCAGCGGAUAAUNCCGGGGACUCUAGAGAAACUGCCAGCGUAAGCUGAGAGGAAGUGGGGAUGACGUCAGAUCAUCACGGCCCUUACGUCCUGGGCUACACACGUGCUACGAUGGCAAGGACAAUGAGCUGCCAACCCGCGACGGGUGAGCAAAUCUUCAAACCCUUGUACUC
rnacentral:rRNA from 1 species